AUCCAGCUGAUGAGUCUCAAAUAGGACGAAAUGCGCUACUUGGAU
rnacentral:hammerhead_ribozyme from 1 species